UAAAACCCUUUUCAUCUCCAAUUAAAAGCCUACUCUGCAGCAGCAAUAGACGCAAAGUUGCUUCAUCUUCCUUUUUUCUUUUUUUGUUUUAAAACAACAGAGGGAAGAAAGAGGGAUCUGCUAGGCCUUCUUUAAAGCCCUAACUACCGCCACGCCACCGCCUUUCAAGCUUCGCCGCCGACUCCGAUUCAGGUAAGUUUCGCCCUUUCCUUUUUUGCCUUUUCUUUUGCACCAAAAACAGAGAAGCAAAGAGAAAAAAAAUAAAAUAAAUAAAACACAAAGAAAAUUACCUUCAAAAAUUGUUUUUGAUUAUUUGUUUGUAUUUCAGUAUUUUUCCAAUACAAUAUUUUUCUCUUUUUAGUACCCAAUCCCCCUUUUCUUUGUGAUCGAUUUUGGCUUUUUAAAACCGAUCUAUAAAACAUUCAUUUCCUAUUUUUUGUUUUCGUUCUUUUGUUUAUUCUUUUCCCCAUUCCUCGCAUGCUUCCUUUUGCUGUUGUUUUUGUCUCUGUUGCAGGUGUGUCCGGUGUGGGUGGUGCACGUGAUGGCCAAGGGCAGAGGUAGCAUGGGGCGACUGAUCAGAGGCGUGCAUGCGUGAGGGGAGGUGAAGCGGCGGCAGCUACAAAGCAUGAGGCUAGGGUUUUUUUGUUUGGUUGAAAACUAGUAUAGUUUGGGCCAUUCGGGCCUCUAAGGUUUUUAUCAUUAUUAGGCAUUUGGAUUGGGUUUGUUUUUUGGGUUAAUUUUGUUGUAAUGGUCUGUUAAUUUUUAUUAGUCUUGGUCCAUUUGGGUUUUAUGGUCUGGGCCUGGGCAAAAAUGGGCUUUUACAGCUGCCCCUCUUUGCUCAUUUUCGUGUAACGAGAAUAGAGCAAAGACAUCAAAAGGGCCAAUUUUGCCCGGCCUUGCCGAGUCUUGACUUUUUGGUGCUCAUCUUUUUUAAGUAGCCUUAUUCCAGCCUGCUACGUCUUGUUGCUUCGAUCCACUCUACUGCAACUUCAGAUACGCCUUGUAGCUUCAAUCUACUCUGCUACGACUCCAUGGGGAUGAGAUUUGUGUUUUUAGUGUGCUCCACUACUAUUUAGGGAGAUAAGACUGGAUGUGAUCUGCUCCACUACUACUUAGGGAGAUAAGACUGUAAUCUUCAAUCUAUUCCACUGCCAAAUACAGGGAGAUAGAGUUAUCAGCUUCAAUGUACUCCACUGUAGUUACAGGAAGGUAAAAUCUGCCAUCUUCGAUCUACUCCACCACUAGUAUGGGAAGACAAGAUCUGUAUCUUGGAUCCACUUCCUAUCAAUAUAGGAAGAUAGGACCUGCUAUCUUCGAUCUACUUCACGCCAAUACAUGAAGACAAGAUCUGCUUUCUGCGAUCUACUUCGCCACCAAUAUGGGAAGACAAGAUCUGCAUCUUCGACCCACUUCCUAUCAAUAUAGGAAGAUAGGACCUGCUAUCUUCGAUCUACCUCACGCCAAUACAUGAAGACAAGAUCUGCUUUCUGCGAUCUACUUCGCCACCAAUAUGGGAAGACAAGAUCUGCAUCUUGGAUCCACUUCCUAUCAAUAUAAGAAGAUAGGACCUGCUAUCUUCGAUCUACUUCACGCCAAUACAUGAAGACAAGAUCUGCUUUCUGCGAUCUACUUCGCCACCAAUAUGGGAAGACAAGAUCUGCGUCGUCGAUCCACUUCCAAUCAUUAUAGAAAGAUAGGACCUGUUAUCUUUGAUCUACUUCACGCCAAUACAUGAAGACAAGAUCUACUUUCUGCGAUCUACUUCGCCACCAAUAUGGGAAAACAAGAUCUGCAUCUUGGAUCCACUUCCUAUCAAUAUAGAAAGAUAGGACCUGCUACCUUCGAUCUACUUCACGCCAAUACAUGAAGACAAGAUUUGCUUUCUUCGAUCUACUUCGCCACCAAUAUGGGAAGACAAGAUCUGCAUCUUCGAUCCACUUCCUACCAAUAUAGGAAGAUAGGACCUGCUACUUUCGAUCUACUUCACGCCAAUACAUGAAGACAAGAUCUGCUUUCUUCGAUCUACUUCGCCACCAAUAUGGGAAGACAAGAUCUGCAUCUUCGAUCUACUUCGCCACCAAUAUGGGAAGACAAGAUCUGCAUCUUCGAUCCAUUUCCUACCAAUAUAGGAAAACCGGAUCAGCUAUCUUCGACCUACUUCACGCCAAUACAUGAAGACAAGAUCUGCUUUCUUCGAUCUACUUCGCCACCAAUAUGGGAAGACAAGAUCUGCAUCUUCGAUCUACUUCGCCACCAAUAUGGGAAGACAAUAUCUGCAUCUUCGAUCCACUUCCUACCAAUAUAGGAAAACCGGAUCAGCUAUCUUCGACCUACUUCACGUCAAUACAUGAAGACAAGAUCUACUUUCUUCGAUCUACUUCUUGUCCCGGGAGAUAGAACUAUCAGCUUCAAUGUACUCCACUGUGGUCAGGGAGGUAAAAUCUGCCAUCUUUUGAUCUGCUUCGCUGCCAAAUACAGGAAGGCAAGAUCUGCAAUCUUCAAUCUAUUCCACUGCCAAAUACAGGGAGAUAGAGUUAUCGGCUUCAAUGUACUCCACUGUAGUCACAUGGAGGUAAAAUCUGCCAUAUUUGAUCUUCAAUCUAUUCCACUGCCAAAUGCAGGGAGAUAGAGUUAUCGGCUUCAAUAUACUCCACUGUAAUCAGGGAGGUAAAAUCUGCCAUCUUUGAUCUGCUUCGCUGUCAAAUUCAGGAAGGCAAGAUCUGCAAUCUUCAAUCUGCUCUGCUACAAACGAGAGAGGCAAGGUUUGUCUUUGAUUUUUACUGAUCUGUUCUCUAGGGAACAUGACCUGUAUAAUGAACCUAAUUAUGCCUAAUGAUUAGGAUGGCAUGAUCAGAAUGGAUCAAAUGUUCCUAACUAGAUGUGCGUGAAUGACAUUUGAAUGAAUGCAGAAUGUCAUGAAAAUGAUUCCUUAAUGCUUAGGUUGUCAUUCCUCAUUGUUCAUCAAGGUUCUAUCACUGAUGCCUUCUUGUUCAGCCAGUACCUUUGAUAGAAAACCUAAAGAAAUAGACGCUAUUUAGACUAUCAUUUCUCAAAUGUUUCCAACCCUUAGGUUUGGUUAGUUCUAAACAAUAGUCUUGUUUCAGGUCCUCGUAUUAUUUAGAAACUUUCAGAGUAAUAUGCAGAACUCCUUCUGCCUGUGUAUUGUCAGUCCAUUAAUCGUUAUUUCAAUGAAAAAUGCUUGAAAAAGAUUAUCAAAAUGGACAAAAUGAAAUUUUGUUGAGAGCAAAGCUCUUAAACAAACAAAUCAAUCAAGAUAGCAAAUUUUGCUGAGAUACGAGAUGAAUAAGAUGAAAAAGAUUAUCACAAUGGAUAAGACGAAAAUUUGUUGAGAGCAAAGCUCUAAAUGAACAAAUUAAUCAAGAUAGCAAAUUUUGCUAAAGUACAGAACGAGGAUAAAUUAAUCAAGAUGAUGUAUUUUGUCAAAAAUACAAAAAAUGAAUAAAAUGGAAAUAGGUGCCCCAGAUAUCGUAGCAUGAGCUUCUCUGCCCCAAACUUCUUAAGGACCCUUUUGAACUUGAUAUGUGUUUAGAAGUCCUAGAAGGCUUUGUUGAUGCCCCAUCUUUGAUCGAAAACUACUUUAUGCCUCAUCUUUGAUCGAAAAUUUGAAUUGCCCAUUCCUGGGUUUUCAAUUCAAAACCCCUUUGGUCUCAAGGUGCCCUUUGCGGGUUUUCGCCUUGGCCUCUCCUUUUUUUUUUUAGGCAAAGUACCUCUUCACUGAAUCCGAAUUCACAGGAUUGGGCAAGCUUUUGCCAUCCAUCCCAGUUAAAAUUAAUGCCCCUCCUGAAAAGGCCUUUUUUACUACAUAAGGUCCCUCCCAGUUUGGCAUCCACUUUCCUCUGAAGUCUUUUUGUAUGGGAAGGAUCUUCUUCAGUACCAAAUCCCCUUCAUGGAAGUUUCUAGGACGAACUUUCUUAUUGUAAGCUCGCAUCAUUUGUUUCUGGUACAUUUGACCAUGACGGAUAGCUCUUAACCUCCUUUCUUCAAUCAAGUUCAGCUGAUCAUAUCGGGAUUGGACCCAUUCUGCUUCGUCUAACUUUAGUUCUGAAAAAACUCGGAGGGAGGGAAUUUUAACCUCAAUUGGUAGCACUGCCUCCAUUCCAUAAACCAAAGAGAAUGGUGUUGCCCCGGUAGAAGUCCUGACGGACGUUCGAUAAGCAUAGAGGGCGAAUGGCAACUUCUCGUGCCAAUCUCUAUAGGUCUCAGUCAUUUUCUCCACAAUCCUUUUGAUAUUUUUAUUGGCUGCCUCCACCGCACCAUUCAUCUUUGGACGGUAUGGUGAUGAGUUGUGGUGCUUGAUAUUGAAUUGACUACAAACCUCUACUAUCGUGCUAUUAUUCAAAUUUAAUGCGUUGUCAGAUAUAAUCCUUUCGGGCAUUCCAUACCGACAUAUGAUUUCCUUUUUUAAAAACCUGCUGACAGCUGCCUUUGUGACGUUCGCGUAAGAAGUAGCCUCUACCCACUUAGUAAAGUAGUCAAUCACUACAAAAAUGAAACGAUGUCCGUUUGAAGCCUUUGGCGAUAUCAGCCCAAUGACGUCCAUGCCCCACAUGGAGAAAGGCCAUGGGGAAGUCAUGACGUGAAGAGGUGAUGGAGGCACAUGGAUUUUGUCUCCGUAAAUCUGGCAUUUAUGGCACUUCUUAGCAUAUUUGAUGCAGUCUCCUUCCAUGGUAGACCAAUAAUAUCCAAAUCUCAUGAUUUGUCUGGCCAUUGUGAAACCGUUAGCGUGUGUUCCACAAAUACCAUCAUGGACUUCUUCCAAGAUCUGUUUGGCCUCCACAGCGUCCACACAUCUUAACAGCACCUGAUCUUUUCCUCCUUUGUACAGGAUCUCUCCAUCUAAGACGUAAUCACUGGCCAGCCUCCUCAACAUUCUCUUGUCAUUCUCAGUUGCUUGGUUUGGGUAUUCACGAUUUUUCACGUAUCGCAAUAUGUCCUGGUACCAAGGGUUGUCGUCCUUUUCUUCUUCCUUGUCAAUGUUACAACAGUGGGCUGGAGCAUCAUAAAUGCUCAUUUGGAUAGGUUUCACAUCCUCUGGUCUAUUUACUUUGAUCAUGGAAGCUAAUGUAGCUAAAGCGUCAGCCAUCUGAUUCUCGUCUCGUGGGAGGUAACAAAAAGUGAUGUCGUCAAACUCCUCAAUCAAUUCUAGGACUAUCAUUCGGAAACUAAUCAACUUAGGGUCUCUUGUUUCCCAUUCGCCUUUGAGCUGAUAAAUUACCAAUGCCGAAUCCCCACAUACCUCAAGUACCUUGAUUUUGCGUUCCAUAGCCGCACGGAUUCCCAUUAUACAUGCUUCAUAUUUCGCCAUGUUAUUUGCGUAAUCAAAAUCUAGUUUACUGGUGAAAGGAUAAUGAUCACCGUUUGGAGAUACCAAGACUGCCCCAAUCCCGUUGCCCAUGGCAUUUGAGGCUCCGUCAAAAUUUAAUUUCCAAGUAUUGCCUUCUUGUGUGCUUGCUUCAGUAGUUGCCACAUACAUCAGAUCCUCAUUUGGGAAAUCAAAGUUCAAAGGCUCAUAAUCGUCCAGGGUUCUACUUGCUAGAAAAUCUGCUAUCGCGCUCCCUUUUACAGCCUUUUGAUUCACAUAGGUUAUGUCAAAUUCAGAUAGUAGAAUUUGCCAUCGGGCCAUCCUUCCGUUUAGAGCAGUUGACUCCAUCAUGUAUUUCAGAAGGUCUAACUUUGAGAUUAACCAAGUCGUAUGGUACAACAUGUAUUGUUUCAAUCUCCGAGUAGUCCAAACCAAUGCGCAACAUAAUUUUUCAAUUGGCGAAUAUCUCGUUUCGUAUUCAGUGAACUUCUUACUGAGAUAAUAGAUCGCUCUUUCCUUUCGUCCUGACUCAUCAUGUUGGCCGAGCACGCACCCCAUAGAAUUCUCAAAUACUGCCAAGUAUAGUAUCAGUGGCUUGUCAGGGCAAGGUGGCAUCAGUACUGGGGCGUUGGACAAGUAAUGUUUAACUCUUUCGAAAGUUUUCUGGCACUCUUUAUCCCAUACACCUGGAUUGUGUUUCCUACGAAGACGGAAUAUGGGGUCACAUUUCUUAGUUAAUUGUGAAAUGAAUCGAGCGAUGUAAUUUAGUCUUCCUAGGAAACCCCGAACUUCUUUUUGAGUACUUGGCGGAGAUAAUUCUUGUAUGGCCUUAACUUUGUCUGGGUCAAUUUCAAUUCCUUUUUCGCUGACUAAGAAUCCUAGCAAUUUUCCUGAUCUAGCCCCGAAAGUACACUUGGCUGGGUUAAGUUUUAGCUGGAACUUCCUUAACCUUAGAAACAGUUUUCUCAGAACUUGCACGUGUUCCCCUUCUGUUCUGGAUUUUGCGAUCAUAUCAUCAACAUAAACUUCUAUCUCUUUAUGCAUCAUAUCAUGGAAUAAUGCUACCAUGGCUCUCUGAUACGUUGCUCCCGCAUUUUUCAAUCCAAAAGGCAUCACUUUAUAACAAAACGUCCCCCACAUCGUUAUGAAUGUGGUAUUCUCCCUGUCUUCAGAAAGCAUCUUAAUUUGGUUGUACCCGGAGAAACCAUCCAUGAAAGAGAACAGUGAGUAUCCGGCCGUGUUGUCUACCAAGGUAUCGAUAUGAGGCAGUGGGAAAUUAUCUUUUGGGCUGGCUUUGUUCAAGUCUCUGUAGUCCACACACAUUCGCACCUUCCCAUCUUUCUUAGGAACAGAGACUAUAUUGGCUACCCAUUCUGAGUACUUGACCACCUGUAAGAAACCAGCAUCAAAUUGCUUCUUAACUUCUUCCUUUAUUUUUAGCAAGACAUCAGGCCUCAUCCUUCGGAGCUUUUGUUGGACUGGUUUGCAUUCUUCUUUUAUAGGCAAUCGGUGUACCACGAUAUCAGUACUUAACCCUGGCAUAUCUUGGUAGGACCACGCGAAGACAUCUUUAAACUCUUGAAGCAACUCAACAAGGUCUUGCCUUGUUUCCUUGGCAAUGCAAGCGCCAAUUUUUACCUCUCUGCCCUCUUCUAAGAUCACAACUUCUACUGAUUCCUUAUAGGGUAGAAUUUGUUUUUCUUCUUCUUCCAUCAUUCUUAACAAAUCCGGAGAUAAAACGCUGUCUUGGUCACCUUCAAAAUCUUGAGGAUCAUCUAUACUCAUGUCUUGCUCAAAUAGGGACUCUGAAUUAGUAACAGAGUCACUCAUCUCGUUGAUAUCUGAAGACCUGUUAUUGGAACAAAUGGAGGCCCAAAUAAAAGGAUCUAAGAAUACUUGUAUGCAUAUUAUGAUUAUAAAGGGAAUGAAAAGAAUGAAAGAAUAUUUGCUCAAGAUGAAACUGAAUGAUAAGUUUUCACUGAAAUUAGAUUUUGGACAUGUGCCUUUUACAAAAGAUUCUUAUCACCCCCAGGCUUAGGGCAACACGUGUUCUGAAUAUUACUCUAGAUUAGCUCUAAAAAUACAGGGAUCUCUUCCACAGUCCCAUUGUUCAAAACACUCCUAAAUAUGCAAAAGUUUGGAGACUUUUAUUCCUCAGUUCCCUUUUCGGAUAUAUCAUUGAAAUUCCUCGAUAUUCCUUUCAGGCUUUUGACUUGUUCAAGGCAUUACAACUCUUUGCUCAUUAUCGUGUAACGUAAAGAUGCCUAGUCAUUUGACUUUUGUCGGUUUCCAAGUUAACUGGGAUAAUUUUACCUAAUUAGGGUCCUUUUAGGGAAAGUCUAAUGCAAAAUAAAGCAAUGCAAUGCAAAUGCAUGAAAUGAAUGCAAAAGAAAGGAAGGCGUUGAUUCUAAAUUUAAUUCUAUUAGAAUAAUUUUUCUAAAAAAUAGAUUUUUUUACAUGAAAAUAGUUUACAUAUGUGGUAUUGCCCUUCAUAGUCCAAGUAAACGCUGAUAUUUUCUUCAUGGUUAAACCCUGUAAAUUCUCCAAAAGAUGCAUUUGCUAGCUCCUUACUGCUUAAUCUGAGCCUCGAUCUCUUGCUCGCUUAUCUUCAAGAUACUCAUCAAAAAGUGCCAGCUCUUGGAUAAUCUUCGUUGGCAAUUAAAUCAAGUCAUGUAUUCCUUCGUGGACUUCCGGCUUUCUCUCGUCAUGCCUUCGUUGGCUUGAAUCUCUAGAAAUUACAUUAUGUAUUCCUCCGUGAACUACCAGCUUUCUCUCAUCGUGUUUACUCAGACUAUAUUCAGACGACCGCACUAUAAUCCACUUUAUCAAGAAAUUCGCUUCCUUAUGACAAACUAUUCUAUUUAGGAAUCGAAUUUCGAAUCAACACAUUCUUUUCUUUGAUGUAAUGCAAAUACAUGAAUGCAAAAAAAAAGGAAGACAUUGAUUCUGAAUUUAAUUUCAUUGGAACAACUUUUCUAGAAAACAAAUUCCUUUACAUAAAACGGACUACAUACACGGUCUUUCUCUCAUAUUCCAAGUGAAGACACCUUUCUUCCUCUUCAUAUCUGGAUCUUAUGGUCGAGUCUGACGAAUUCUCCAAGAGAUGUCUAUAUUAACUCCUUUUUUGCUUGAUCCAGGCUGCGACUCGUUGCUCACUUAUUUCUAUGAUACUUUUCAGCUCUUUUAAGAAAGUCAAGACAUGACAGCUCUCGAAUAAUCUUUGUUAGUUUCUGUCUUUAGGCAAUGAAGCAAAGUCUUGUAUUUCUUCACGGACUAUCAGCCUUCUUUCAUGUAUUCACUUGGACCAUAUUUAGACAACCGUGUUAUAAUCCACUUUAUCAAAAAAAAUUGUUUUCUUAUGACAAACUGUUCUAUUUAGCAAUCAAAUAUGAAUCAACACCUCCUUCCUAGGAUGAUGUAAUACAAUGCAAUUAUAAACAAAAAAAACAAAACACGUUAGUGCAGAAUAAAUAACAAAUAAAGCAAUUCGGGUGACCACUAGGGGUUUGGAGUGGCUCUACGUAGGGUAGGCUCCUAGGUCUCUCUAUAUGUGGUUUGGUUCUUGAGUAAGGGUACCUGAACCAACAGAUUCCUCGAUCCUCACCCAUUAUAGGCUCAUAUGGACCGAGUUCAGUUCAGGGGAAUACAUUUCCCUAUGGCCAUGCGGAGAUGAAAAUCUCACGAAGACAUAGGUACGGAUGUAUCCCGGAAGCGAUUCACUAUCCCAUGCGGAGGUGAAAACCUCACGAAGGCGUAGUUUCUCACUCCCACUAAAAAGGGUAUGACCAGCGGUCAUGCAAUGUAAUGUGCGAAGGUAUAAAAUAAAAUACAGAACACGAUAAAAAAUAUAACUCAGAACAAAAGAGAUGCAAUGAGAGGAUCGUAAAUUUAAAUCGAAUUUUCAACUUUCGACAAAAGACAAGAAAUAAUCAACACGUGGCUUGACUCUCUUAUUGUCCCCAGUGGAGUCGCCAAGCUGUUGACACCAUUUUUUUGUUAAAAAACGGGGUCGACUUGGAUUUUGAAAAAAAGAAUGAAAACGGGAGUCGCCACCAAUCCUUUUUUGAUGAGGUGUGAUCAGGUCACCUCAAAAAGUGGUUGUUUUUAAUAAAUGAUUUAAUUUUAUUAAAACAACGAUUUUGGUCUACGAAAUUUAGAAAAAUGAGUUCGGGAAUCGGUUACGCACGAGGAAGGAUUAGCACCCUCGACACGCCCAAAAUUGGUACCUUAGUUGAUUACAUAAUGUCUUAAUGUCGAAAAUUGAGAAUUUUGAAAAUUUUUAAAAAUUUUUACGAUCCUUAUAUUAAAACAUAAAAAAAAAUUCAGGAAAAGGGACAUAUUUCACGUUAUCUGAGAAAAAAAGAAUCAUAUCCAGUAAGUUAGGACACAAUGUCUCGAAUUCCCGAUAUCGUUUAAAACUCGAAUUUGAAAAGAUUCAUGUAAUAAAGUUUAAAAGAAUAUUCAAUUGUUUAAAUCAAAUAAAGAAAUCGCAACCCAAUACGUUAGGGCACAAUUUCUCAAAAUAUUAAACAUUGAAUAUUGCAUUUAUUUCGAAAAAUCCUUGUCUCGAGAAAGCAACGUGUCACAUCCAAUGCGUUAGGACACAACAUAUUAAAUUCUUGAUAACGAGCUUUUUAUCAUUUUUUUAAAGAGUAAUCUCGAUUAUUUAAAUUCAACGAAGAAAGUCGGAACCCAAUGCAUUAGGGCUCGAUUCUCUCGAAGAUCUAAAUAUCGAAUAUUACUUUUAUUUUAAAAUUUCAUUUUUGGCCAAUCCGAUUGAAAAGAUACGAUGUGACAACAAUGAUGAUAAUGUAAGUAAAAUAACACGAGCAAAACAUAAGAUAAAUAAAUAAUAAAACGAAGAAAACAAUCAAAAAGGCACAAUAACAAAUAAUAAACAAAUAAAAACUAAAACAUGAAUAACAAGCAUUUAAACAAAUAAAUAAAUGAACAAAAUGAUCCAAAAAAAAAUUAUGAAAAGUUAAAAGACAUAUAUAUAUGUACAAAAUUAUGAAAAUAUAAAAAAAAAACAUAUGUGUGUACACAUGAAUUAUAAACCAUAGAAAUAUCAUAAGAAAAUAUAAAUUUUUAAAAUAUAAGAGUAUGUAUAAAUACAUAUAUGCAUAUUUAUGAAAAAUAAAAGAGAUACAUGUAAGUACGUAUAUACAUAAAAAAUUUAAAAUGCAAAUAUAAAUAUAUUCAUGUAUAUAAGAAUAAUAAUAAAAGGCGUAUAUAUAUGCAUGUGAAUAUUAAGUAUGUACAUAUGAAUGUAUAUAAUAUAUAUAUAAACUAUAUAUAUAAAAAAAAUAUGGUAAUGAAAUAUAUACGCACUAUAUAUAUUUAAAACAUUUAGAAAUAAAAAUAUACACAUACAUUAUAAAGUACACAUGCGUGUAUGUAUGUAAGUAUAAUAAAAAAAUAAUAAUAGUAAUAAUAAUAAUAAUAAUAAUAACUAUAUUAAUAAAAUAAACUAAAAACUUAAAAUGAAAGAUUAUGGAUUAAAUUGAAAAUAAUUGAAGUUUCAGGGGCAAAUCUGAAACAAACAAAACACCAAUGAAUCGAAUGGAACAUGCAGUUAACAGUGGAGGACCGAAAGUCAAAUUAAUCCCUCCGUCCAAAACUCCACGCAGCAAUGGAUUAAAAUAAAACAAAUUCGACAUUUCAUGGCAAAAUUUGAAAACAAACCGCAAUGAUUUUGAACUGAUGGGAUAAAAUGAAGGAUUAAAACGCAAAUAACCCAUCAGUGUUUAAAACCCUUUUCAUCUCCAAUUAAAAGCCUACUCUGCAGCAGCAAUAGACGCAAAGUUGCUUCAUCUUCCUUUUUUCUUUUUUUGUUUUAAAACAACAGAGGGAAGAAAGAGGGAUCUGCUAGGCCUUCUUUAAAGCCCUAACUACCGCCACGCCACCGCCUUUCAAGCUUCGCCGCCGAUUCCGAUUCAGGUAAGUUUCGCCCUUUCCUUUUUUGCCUUUUCUUUUGCACCAAAAACAGAGAAGCAAAGAGAAAAAAAAAUAAAAUAAAUAAAACACAAAGAAAAUUACCUUCAAAAAUUGUUUUUGAUUCUUUGUUUGUAUUUCAGUAUUUUUCCAAUACAAUAUUUUUCUCUUUUUAGUACCCAAUCCCCCUUUUCUUUGUGAUCGAUUUUGGCUUUUUAAAACCGAUCUAUAAAACAUUCAUUUCCUAUUUUUUGUUUUCGUUCUUUUGUUUAUUCUUUUCCCCAUUCCUCGCAUGCUUCCUUUUGCUGUUGUUUUUGUCUCUGUUGCAGGUGUGUCCGGUGGGGGUGGUGCACGUGAUGGCCAAGGGCAGAGGUAGCAUGGGGCGACUGAUCAGAGGCGUGCAUGCGUGAGGGGAGGUGAAGCGGCGGCAGCUACAAAGCAUGAGGCUAGGGUUUUUUUGUUUGGUUGAAAACUAGUAUAGUUUGGGCCAUUCGGGCCUCUAAGGUUUUUAUCAUUAUUGGGCAUUUGGAUUGGGUCUGUUUUUUGGGUUAAUUUUGUUGUAAUGGUCUGUUAAUUUUUAUUAGUCUUGGUCCAUUUGGGUUUUAUGGUCUGGGCCCGGGCAAAAAUGGGCUUUUACACUAAAUAAUAAAAAAUGUUAUUUUGAAAACUUACAUUAAUCCUGAAAAUGUAAGAUUACUUAAACCCAACAGUAGCAUAAACUAAUACUGAUUGCAAUUCCGUUUACUCUUUGUUUGAUGGUUCUCCUAAGGCCUGUAGAA
rnacentral:lncRNA from 1 species